rnacentral:rRNA from 1 species
AGUGAACGCUGGCGGUAGGCCUAACACAUGCAAGUCGAACGGCAGCACAGUAAGAGCUUGCUCUUACGGGUGGCGAGUGGCGGACGGGUGAGGAAUACAUCGGAAUCUACUUUUUCGUGGGGGAUAACGUAAGGAAAGUUACGCUAAUACCGCAUACGACCUACGGGUGAGAGCAGGGGAUCUUCGGACCUUGCGCGAUUGUAUGAGCCGAUGUCGGAUUAGCUAGUUGGCGGGGUAAAGGCCCACCAAGGCGACGAUCCGUAGCUGGUCUGAGAGGAUGAUCGGCCACACUGGAACUGAGACACGGUCCAGACUCCUACGGGAGGCAGCAGUGGGGAAUAUUGGACAAUGGGCGCAAGCCUGAUCCAGCCAUACCGCGUGGGUGAAGAAGGCCUUCGGGUUGUAAAGCCCUUUUGUUGGGAAAGAAAAGCAGCAGGUGAAUACCCCGCUGUUCUGACGGUACCCAAAGAAUAAGCACCGGCUAACUUCGUG